UACGGGGGGGGCAAGCGUUGUUCGGAAUUACUGGGCGUAAAGGGCUCGUAGGCGGCCAACUAAGUCAGACGUGAAAUCCCUCGGCUUAACCGGGGAAUGGCGUCUGAUACUGGAUGGCUUGAGUUCGGGAGAGGGAUGCGGAAUUCCAGGUGUAGCGGUGAAAUGCGUAGAUAUCUGGAGGAACACCUGUGGCGAAGGCGGCCCCCUGGUUGGAUACUGACGCUGAUACGCGAAAGCGUGGGGAGCAAACAGG
rnacentral:rRNA from 1 species